UGGAGUCUUCUAGAUCUCAGGAGUUUAUGAAGUCUGUAGAAGGUCCACUGCCCUGAAAAAAUGCACAUUCUAAUUUAAUACGUCACUGGCGUACAGAACGGUCUCUAAGUAUCCCAGGUUGGGCAUACGGAGUAGCCAAACCUUUUGGGAUCAUGGGGAAAAUGGCUCAAUUGGGCGUU
rnacentral:ribozyme from 1 species